rnacentral:rRNA from 1 species
CCUACGGGAGGCAGCAGUAGGGAAUAUUGGGCAAUGGAGGCAACUCUGACCCAGCCAUGCCGCGUGCAGGAAGACGGCGUUAUGCGUUGUAAACUGCUUUUAUAUAGGAAGAAAUAGUCCUUGCGAGGAAAGUUGACGGUACUAUAUGAAUAAGCACCGGCUAACUCCGUGCCAGCAGCCGCGGUAAUACGGAGGGUGCAAGCGUUGUCCGGAUUUAUUGGGUUUAAAGGGUGCGUAGGCGGUUUAUUAAGUCAGUGGUGAAAGACGGUCGCUCAACGAUUGCAGUGCCAUUGAUACUGGUAGACUUGAGUGGGAUUGAGGUAGCUGGAAUGGAUAGUGUAGCGGUGAAAUGCAUAGAUAUUAUCCAGAACACCAAUUGCGUAGGCAAGUUACUAAGUCUCAACUGACGCUGAGGCACGAAAGUGUGGGUAUCAAACAGGAUUAGAUACCCUGGUAGUCCACACUGUAAACGAUGAUAACUAACUGUUGGCUUUCGGGUCAGUGGUACAGAGAAAUCGUUAAGUUAUCCACCUGGGGAGUACGCCGGUNAACGGUUGAAACUCAAAGGAUUGACGGNUUGNGAGNGCGAGCGACGACGAGGAGAGG